UGGAGAUGUAGCUCAAGUGGUAGAGUGCUUGCCUAGCAUGCAUGAGGCCCUGAGUUCUAUUCCCAGCACUACAA
rnacentral:tRNA from 1 species